rnacentral:rRNA from 1 species
ACAAGUACCGUGAGGGAAAGUUGAAAAGCACUUUGAAGAGAGAGUUAAAGAGGACGUGAAACCGAUGAGAUGGAGACGGACAGAGCUAGCGUAUCUGGCUUGCAUUCAGCUUAUGCGGUCGCUACCGAUGCGUCGCUGACCUCCAGAUUGGGGCUUUGACUAGUCGGUCGGUGGCUGUGUUGUGCAUUUGCAAGUGGAGUGCGUCGAGGCAUCUGGGAUGGCGGAAUGAACUUGGCUUUGAGGCCAGCUUGCUGGUACCCGGGCCUGGGAUUUCUGUUCGUUCUAGGUGUUUUUGCGGUCGAACAAGGCUUUGCGAGCCUGGUUGGGUGCCGAGCUGGGUGUCGGUGGCGGUCGCAUGCGACACGUACUGUGCCACCAGUUCGGUCCUGGCCGAGCUCACUCCAUGUUCAAUCUCGGCGUAAAAGCUGGUCAUCUUUCCGACCCGUCUUGAAACACGGACCAAGGAGUUUAUCGUGUGCGCGAGUCAUUGGGCGUUGAAAACCCAAAGGCGCAAUGAAAGUAAAUGUAUCCGCUCGGAACUGAUGUGCGACCCUGGUCACUGCGGUGGCCAGGAGCAGCAUGGCCCCAUCCUGACUGCUUGCAGUGGGGUGGAGGAAGAGCGUACGCGAUGAGACCCGAAAGAUGGUGAACUAUUCCUGAGCAGGAUGAAGCCAGAGGAAACUCUGGUGGAAGUCCGAAGCGAUUCUGACGUGCAAAUCGAUCGUCUGACUUGGGUAUAGGGGCGAAAGACUAAUCGAACCAUCUAGUAGCUGGUUCCUUCCGA